AGAGGCGAUGAAGGACGUGCUAAUCUGCGAUAAGCGUCGGUAAGGUGAUAUGAACCGUUAUAACCGGCGAUUUCCGAAUGGGGAAACCCAGUGUGAUUCGUCACACUAUCAUUAACUGAAUCCAUAGGUUAAUGAGGCGAACCGGGGGAACUGAAACAUCUAAGUACCCCGAGGAAAAGAAAUCAACCGAGAUUCCCCCAGUAGCGGCGAGCGAACGGGGAGCAGCCCAGAGCCUGAAUCAGUGUGUGUGUUAGUGGAAGCGUCUGGAAAGGCGUGCGAUACAGGGUGACAGCCCCGUACACAAAAAUGCACAUACUGUGAGCUCGAUGAGUAGGGCGGGACACGUGGUAUCCUGUCUGAAUAUGGGGGGACCAUCCUCCAAGGCUAAAUACUCCUGACUGACCGAUAGUGAACCAGUACCGUGAGGGAAAGGCGAAAAGAACCCCGGCGAGGGGAGUGAAAAAGAACCUGAAACCGUGUACGUACAAGCAGUGGGAGCACGCUUAGGCGUGUGACUGCGUACCUUUUGUAUAAUGGGUCAGCGACUUAUAUUCUGUAGCAAGGUUAACCGAAUAGGGGAGCCGAAGGGAAACCGAGUCUUAACUGGGCGUUAAGUUGCAGGGUAUAGACCCGAAACCCGGUGAUCUAGCCAUGGGCAGGUUGAAGGUUGGGUAACACUAACUGGAGGACCGAACCGACUAAUGUUGAAAAAUUAGCGGAUGACUUGUGGCUGGGGGUGAAAGGCCAAUCAAACCGGGAGAUAGCUGGUUCUCCCCGAAAGCUAUUUAGGUAGCGCCUCGUGAAUUCAUCUCCGGGGGUAGAGCACUGUUUCGGCAAGGGGGUCAUCCCGACUUACCAACCCGAUGCAAACUGCGAAUACCGGAGAAUGUUAUCACGGGAGACACACGGCGGGUGCUAACGUCCGUCGUGAAGAGGGAAACAACCC
rnacentral:rRNA from 1 species